UAGCUUUUUCUGUGCAGAGGGACCAGUUAUACAAGUAAUUGAGUGUCGAGCUGGUUUGGAUUCAUUUUUUAAGAAUUAGCUACUUUAUAAAGAGGGAUAAGGGGAACAGAGAAGCCUGCAAUCCCAGAAAUGGAAAAUGGACAAGAUGCCAGAAAAAAAAAAUCUGUGGCCUCAAUCUCGAAGCAUUCUACAGGGUCACAGCAAUCCUAGGCUCCCUGGAAACACAUCAAAAGAAACUAAGCCACAAGACACCACUUGAAUGGCACCACCUGGGCUGGAUACAAAGACCAGCUGGAGCAGGCAGAAGUCCUGUACCUUUAAGGUAGUGCUUCAGAGUCGAUUGUAACUGUAAUUAACAGCUUCCUCUAACUGUGAGAUGGAAUUUUCCUGAAGGACUCGGUGGUUUUACUCACUGUCUGGCUUAGUAAAAUGGGAUUUCAAACAGCACAGAGCUUUCAACCCAAAGCAGCUAAAUCUAGUUAAAGCAGAAACAUCAAUGAUUUUCGAAGAAAAAGAAGACCUGGCUUCUCAGGGAUUUCAACUGAACACGGCAUGACAAGUUAUAAGACUAGGCACAAACCUUCAAACUCGAUAUCCAGAACUGAUCCUGUGUAGCUGAGGCCCUGUACAUUUUGACCGACUUCUCUCCAGCAUCUCUGUCAAUCAUCCUUCAGCCUCGGAUGCAUGGUCUCCUUUCUCUCCAUGUCACAUCGUGAAUAUGUUUCUAAGUUUACUUCACUACAGGAAAAAAUAAAACUUGGAUGGAAAUGGCCACAUUUUCCCUACCCCCUGGGACAUUUGGCUUAUACUGUAUCCUCCAAGCUGUCUUGGAAUGAACAGCAUCUUUGAUUUCCCAUAAUGCACUACACAGGUGCUUCAGAGCUGCUAGAUGCUCAGCG